rnacentral:lncRNA from 1 species
GGAAGAAGAAGGAAGCCAAAGUAUCUGAUGCACUGGAGAAUGAAAACCCGUUCAAAAUCAGAAGUAUAGAGAAGUUUUCUGUAAAAUGGAAAUGAGUAUCAUGAAGUUUUAAAUGAACAGUGUAAAACAGAAGACAUCAGCAUUCAUUAGGUCCCAGACCUCUUUGAGAAUCUGAUGAAAUUCUGGACAACCUCUCCUCCCACAAACAAGAUGUACUAGAAUACCUACACAUAAAAUGUUGCAUUCAAUUUUGGAAUGUGAAGAGAUCAUUUGAAGCCGAUCCAGAGGCCUCUAAGGACUUGACUGGUGCAGUAUUGGUGGCUGCUGGGUCAGAUGAGCUCCCUGCUAUUCCAAGAAACAAUACAUGUUUGCAGCCACUAAGAUUUGAGGACUUUUGUUAUUACUGCCUAUCCUGACAGACUCAGGUGCUACAACUAUUUAAGGGCUGACCGGAUCUCACUCUGGCACCUAGACUGGAGGGUACUGGCAUGAACUCCUGGGCUCAGAUGUCCUCCCACCUCCACCUUCUGAGUAGCCGGAAUUACAGGAAUGAACCAUCAUGCUCAGAUUUCAAGCUCCCUGAAGAUGAAGGCUGAAUCCUACACCUCGCUUGUAUCCUCCAUGGCUCAUUGAACAAGUGCUAGCUAGCUACAUGGAGACUGCUCAAUAAAUAUUGAAUAACUCA